rnacentral:snRNA from 1 species
GUGCUCGUUUCAGCAGCACGUAUAUUAAAAUUGGAGCGAUAUGGAGAAGAUUAUCAUGGCCUCUGCACAAGGAUGACAUGCAAAUACGUGAAGUGUUCCAUAUUAAA